GACGAACGCUGGCGGCGUGCUUAACACAUGCAAGUCGAACGGAAAGGCCCUGCUUUUGUGGGGUGCUCGAGUGGCGAACGGGUGAGUAACACGUGAGUAACCUGCCCUUGUCUUUGGGAUAACUUCAGGAAACUGGGGCUAAUACCGGAUAGGAGCUCCUGCUGCAUGGUGGGGGUUGGAAAGUUUCGGCGGUUGGGGAUGGACUCGCGGCUUAUCAGCUUGUUGGUGGGGUAGUGGCUUACCAAGGCUUUGACGGGUAGCCGGCCUGAGAGGGUGACCGGCCACAAUGGGACUGAGAGACGGACCAGACUCCUACGGGAGGCAGCAGUGGAGAAUAUUACACAAUAGGCGGAAGCCUGAUGCAGCAACGCCGCGUGCGGGAUGACGGCCUUCGAGUUGAAAACCGCUUUCGCCUGUGACGAAGCGUGAGUGACGGUAACGGGUAAAGAAGCACCGGCUAACUACGUG
rnacentral:rRNA from 1 species